rnacentral:rRNA from 1 species
GUAAGGAAUAUUGGUCAAUGGGCGGAAGCCUGAACCAGCCAUGCCGCGUGCAGGACGACGGCCCUACGGGUUAUAAACUGCUUUUGCCCGGGAAUAACCCCCCUCUCUUGAGCGGGGCUGAACGUACCGGGAGAAUAAGGAUCGGCUAACUCCGUGCCAGCAGCCGCGGUAAUACGGAGGAUCCGAGCGUUCUCCGGAUUGAUUGGGUUUAAAGGGUGCGUAGGCGGCCUGUUAAGUCAGGGGUGAAAUACGGCAGCUCAACUGUCGCAGUGCCCUUGAUACUGACGGGCUUGAAUACCGGUGAAGGCGGCGGAAUGAGACAAGUAGCGGUGAAAUGCAUAGAUAUGUCUCAGAACCCCGAUUGCGAAGGCAGCUGCCUAACCGGCGAUUGACGCUGAUGCACGAAAGCGUGGGGAUCGAACAGGAUUAGAAACCCGAGUAGUCC